ACACUGACAGAACUCUUACAGUUGGUGGUUGUUUUCUGGUUUGCUCUAGGAGGCAAAAGAAAACACUCCCUGAACUUCCUGACUGACUUUGUGGCAGCCCAGAUUGCACUGGGGAAUACAUCC